CCUACGGGGGGCAGCAGUGGGGAAUAUUGGGCAAUGGAGGAAACUCUGACCCAGCAACGCCGCGUGAAGGAUGAAGGUAUUCGGAUUGUAGACUUCUGUCGCGAGGGAUGAAGAAUGACGGUACCUCGUAAGAAAGCCCCGGCAAACUACGUGCCAGCAGCAGCGGGAAUAAGUAGGGUGCGAGCGAUGGCCGGAAUGACAGGGCGUAAAGUGAGUGUCGGCGGGAUAGUAAGUUCUGUGUGAAAGACCGCGAGUUAACCGCGGAAUUCCACAUAAAACUGGGAAGGUGGGGUGCAGGAGAGGUAAGUGGAACUGCCGGUGGUGCGGUUGAAGGCGUAGAUAUGGGGAGGAAAACGAGUGG
rnacentral:rRNA from 1 species